UACGUAGGGGGCAAGCGUUGUCCGGAUUUAUUGGGCGUAAAGAGCUUGUAGGCGGCUCGUCACGUCGGGUGUGAAAACUCGCGGCUCAACCGCGAGCCUGCACCCGAUACGGGCGGGCUAGAGUUCGGCAGGGGAGACUGGAAUUCCUGGUGUAGCGGUGGAAUGCGCAGAUAUCAGGAGGAACACCGGUGGCGAAGGCGGGUCUCUGGGCCGAUACUGACGCUGAGAAGCGAAAGCGUGGGGAGCGAACAGG
rnacentral:rRNA from 1 species